rnacentral:rRNA from 1 species
AGUGAACGCUGGCGGCGUGCUUAACACAUGCAAGUCGAACGAUGAAGCCCAGCUUGCUGGGUGGAUUAGUGGCGAACGGGUGAGUAACACGUGAGUAACCUGCCCUUGACUCUGGGAUAAGCCCGGGAAACUGGGUCUAAUACCGGAUAGGAACGUCCACCGCAUGGUGGUUGUUGGAAAGAUUUAUCGGUCAUGGAUGGACUCGCGGCCUAUCAGCUUGUUGGUGAGGUAAUGGCUCACCAAGGCGACGACGGGUAGCCGGCCUGAGAGGGUGACCGGCCACACUGGGACUGAGACACGGCCCAGACUCCUACGGGAGGCAGCAGUGGGGAAUAUUGCACAAUGGGCGAAAGCCUGAUGCAGCGACGCCGCGUGAGGGAUGACGGCCUUCGGGUUGUAAACCUCUUUCAGUAGGGAAGAAGCGAAAGUGACGGUACCUGCAGAAGAAGCACCGGCUAACUACGUGCCAGCAGCCGCAGUAA